CGCCGCGCGCGCGGCGGGCUACGGGAGGCAGCAGUGGGGAAUAUUGCACAAUGGGCGCAAGCCUGAUGCAGCCAUGCCGCGUGUAUGAAGAAGGCCUUCGGGUUGUAAAGUACUUUCAGCGGGGAGGAAGGUGUUGAGGUUAAUAACCUCAGCAAUUGACGUUACCCGCAGAAGAAGCACCGGCUAACUCCGUGCCAGCAGCGGCGGUAAUA
rnacentral:rRNA from 1 species